UAUUAUACUAAUAAGUAAUUGUAACUUUUAAUUAUUAAUAGAUAUAAUCUUUAAAUUUGAAGAAUUUGGCGGUGGUUUAGUCUUGUUAGAGGAACCUGUUUUUGGAUCGAUAAACCACGUAAAAUUUUACUUGUUUUAUUAGUUUGUAUACCGUCAUUAUUAGAUAAUUUUUAAAAAAUUAAUUAUUAAAAUUUUUAGUAUGAAAAUUAAAUUAGAUCAAGGUGCAGCUUAUAGAUAAGUUAAAAUGGGUUACAAUAAGAUUUACUUAAAUGGAGUAAUAAAAGGAAGCUAUAUUAUGAAGGCGGAUUUAAUUGUAAUAUAAAUUUAAUAAGUUUAAAAAAUAUAAGCUCUAAAUCAU
rnacentral:rRNA from 1 species